AGUGAACGCUGGCGGUAGGCCUAACACAUGCAAGUCGAACGGCAGCACAGUAAGAGCUUGCUCUUACGGGUGGCGGGUGGCGGACGGGUGAGGAAUACAUCGGAAUCUACUUUUUCGGGGGGGGUAACGUAGGGAAACUUACGCUAAUACCGCAUACGACCUACGGGUGAAAGCAGGGGAUCUUCGGACCUUGCGCGAUUGAAUGAGCCGAUGUCGGAUUAGCUAGUUGGCGGGGUAAAGGCCCACCAAGGCGACGAUCCGUAGCUGGUCUGAGAGGAUGAUCAGCCACACUGGAACUGAGACACGGUCCAGACUCCUACGGGAGGCAGCAGUGGGGAAUAUUGGACAAUGGGCGCAAGCCUGAUCCAGCCAUACCGCGUGGGUGAAGAAGGCCUUCGGGUUGUAAAGCCCUUUUGUUGGGAAAGAAAAGCAGCAGGUUAAUACCCCGCUGUUCUGACGGUACCCAAAGAAUAAGCACCGGCUAACUUCGUG
rnacentral:rRNA from 1 species